AUUCGUGUAACACAUCCCCAGAUAGCCUGGAUCUGAGUGCAUAUUAUUGGCGAAUAGCGCUCAGAUCCCAUUCGCAUAGUUCAAUCGCCAUGGAGUCAAAGUCUAUUACAGUUCUUCGGUAUGCGAUUGACUCCAUGGGACGGCUAUCUGGGGUUAAGUCCAUUCGUGUUGUUGAAUCUCCCGAACGGCCGGCAUUCGUAUGCUUUUGUCGAUUGAGAAGGGGAGGUCGACGGCUUCAG